UACGGAGGAUGCAAGCGUUAUCCGGAAUCAUUGGGCGUAAAGCGUUUGUAGGUGGCUUCGUAAGUCUGCUGUUAAAUAGUACAGCUUAACUGUAUACAGGCAGUGGAAACUACGAGGCUUGAGUGUGGUAGGGGCAGAGGGAAUUCCCGGUGUAGCGGUGAAAUGCGUAGAUAUCGGGAAGAACACCAACGGCGAAAGCACUCUGCUGGGCCAACACUGACACUGAGAGACGAAAGCUAGGGUAGCCAAUGGG
rnacentral:rRNA from 1 species